rnacentral:rRNA from 1 species
CUACGGGCUGCUGCAGUGGGGAAUAUUGCGCAAUGGGCGAAAGCCUGACGCAGCGACGCCGCGUGAGGGAAGAAGGCCUUCGGGUCGUAAACCUCUGUCAGGAGGGAAGAACCCCAUGGAUGCGAACAGCGUCUGUGGCUGACGGUACCUCCAGAGGAAGCACCGGCUAACUCCGUGCCAGCAGCCGCGGUAAUACGGAGGGUGCGAGCGUUAAUCGGAAUCACUGGGCGUAAAGCGCGCGUAGGCGGUCCGGCAAGUCGGGCGUGAAAUCCCUCGGCCCAACCGAGGAACUGCGCUCGAAACUGCUGGACUGGAGUUCGGGAGAGGGUGGCGGAAUUCCGGGUGUAGGAGUGAAAUCCGUAGAUAUCCGGAGGAACACCAGUGGCGAAGGCGGCCACCUGGACCGAUACUGACGCUGAGGUGUGAAAGCGUGGGGAGCAAACAGGAUUAGAUACCCGGGUAGUC